GUCUGUUUGACUAUUUAAAAACAGUCUUACCUGCCCACUGAAUAUUUUAAAGGCCGCGGUAUACUGACCGUGCGAAGGUAGCACAAUAACUAGUCUUUUAAUUGAAGGCCGGAAUGAAAGGUCGGACAAGAAACAUACUGUCUCAGUCAUAAACAUUGAACUUAACUUUUAAGUGAAAAGGCUUAAAUAACCUGGAGGGACGACAAGACCCUAUAAAACUUCAUGCAUAUAUAGGAUAUAUUGCCAAUUAAUCGUACAAAACAACUUUACCCUUUUAUACAUUGCGUUGGGGCGACGAGAGUAUAAAAAAUAACUACUCUUUCUUUAAACAAUAAUAUUUGCCUUAUAAUGAUCCUUUUUCAAGAUUUUAAGAAAAAGUUACUUUAGGGAUAACAGCGUUAUUUUUUUUAAGAGUCCAUAUCGACAAAAAAGAUUGCGACCUCGAUGUUGAAUUAAAAUCUCCCUAUGGUGCAGCAACUUUAAGGGAAGGUCUGUUCGACCUUUAAAAACUUACAUGAUUUGAGUUCAAACCGGUGCAAG
rnacentral:rRNA from 1 species